GAGGGCCCACCCGCUGCGGCUCGCCUGCCCGUCCCCAGCGCCCGCACAGAGCGCGUCCAGGCCCCGAAGGCGGGUCACCCACACGGUGGCUCUUCGACUUUCCGGGGGAACAGGAUCUUUGCUCAAGCAGCCCUUUGUCCCACCCAGAGUGCCCACAGGGGCCUGGACACUGUCUGCUCCUGCACUUGGGCCCUGUCCUGGAGAGACCCACAUGGCACUCACUGGUCGGUGGGCAGCCCGCUGGUCCAUCUCCCGGGGAGUCCCGGCACCCACCCCCAGCAGCCAGCUGGUUCCUCUAAGGGGCCACCUUCCCCAUGGCCAAGUCCACGGGCCCCAGUGAAGGGGCCGCGUCCGUUCCCCAGGCCUCAGCUGCAGGCCAGAGUCCAGCCAGGGCGGCGAGGGACCCAGGACUCUGGGUGUGAAGCAGGACACCUGGGAAGGUUUGUCCCUGUGGGAAUGGUCUGGAGCUGUUGCAGCCAUCCUGCGACAAAGAAGAGAGUGGAGCCAGAAACCAGCCUGGGAUGCUUGAUCAAGCCAUACCUGAAUCUUAAGCCAUGUGAAUGAAUAAAUGUCCUUGAUGUUAA